GACGAACGCUGGCGGCGUGCUUAACACAUGCAAGUCGAACGAUGAACUUGGAGCUUGCUCUGGGGGAUUAGUGGCGAACGGGUGAGUAACACGUGAGUAACCUGCCCUGGACUCUGGGAUAACUUCGAGAAAUCGGAGCUAAUACCGGAUAGGACCUUGCACCGCAUGGUGUGGGGUGGAAAGUUUUUCGGUUUGGGAUGGACUCGCGGCCUAUCAGCUUGUUGGUGAGGUAAUGGCUCACCAAGGCGUCGACGGGUAGCCGGCCUGAGAGGGGGACCGGCCACACGGUGACUGAGACACGGCCCAGACUCCUACGGGAGGCAGCAGUGGGGAAUAUUGCACAAUGGGCGCAAGCCUGAUGCAGCAACGCCGCGUGCGGGAUGACGGCCUUCGGGUUGUAAACCGCUUUUAGUAGGGAAGAAGCCUUCGGGUGACGGUACCUGCAGAAAAAGGACCGGCUAACUACGUGCCAGCCGCCGCAGUAAGAC
rnacentral:rRNA from 1 species